UACGUAGGGGCAAGCGUUGUCCGGAAUCAUUGGGCGUAAAGAGCGUGUAGGCGGCCUGAUAAGUCGGCUGUGAAAGUCAAAGGGCUCAACCCUUGAAUGCCGGCCGAUACUGUCAGGCUAGAGUCCGGAAGAGGCGAGUGGAAUUCCUGGUGUAGCGGUGAAAUGCGCAGAUAUCAGGAGGAACACCGAUGGCGAAGGCAGCUCCGCUGGGACGGUACUGACGCUGAGACGCGAAAGCGUGGGGAGCGAACAGG
rnacentral:rRNA from 1 species